AUGGUGUUAAUUGAUAAUGCAAAUGCUACUAACCCUUGUUGUGAGCAUGUGCACCUUGUUGAGGAGAAUGCUAAGUUGAAGGAGCAGCUUGAGAAAGGCCUUGUGUCAUGCAUACAAGGUGAGAAGAACCUCAACGACCUUUUGAGAAACCAAAAGGAAGUUGUGGCCAAGGAAGGGAUUGGGUUCGCACCCAAGCCCAAGAACAAGAAGAAGAAUGACAAGACCAAACGACCUCCUCCUCUCAAGCAAACUUUUGUGAAGGAGGGAGAGGGUGCUUCCAAGGAUAAGAAGAACAAUGCGAAGGGUGACGGUGUCAAGAAGGGCAAUACCACCCCAUCCAACAAAGCCGGCGACUUUAAUCCUUCUUAUGUGUUAUGUCGUGCUAGUGAUGGGCAUGUUUAUGCCAAAUUUGUUGGUUCUCCUCAUGAGUAUAUUGAAUGGUCCAUUUGGGUUCCUAAGACCCUUGUUACUAACAUCAAAGGACCCAUUACAAAAUGGGUACCUAAAACCAAGCAUUGA
rnacentral:rRNA from 1 species